GACAGAGGUGCCGAGCGUUAGGCGGAAUCACUGGGCUUAAAGCGUGUGUAGGCGGACUCGUAAGUGCCUUGUGAAAUCCCACGGCUCACCCGUGGAACUGCUUGGCAUACUGCGAGCCUUGAGCCACUUAGGGGCAACCGGAACAAACGGUGGAGCGGUGAAAUGCGUAGAUAUCGUUUGGAACGCCAAUGGUGAAAACAGGUUGCUGGGAGUGCGCUGACGCUGAGACACGAAAGCCAGGGGAGCAAACGGGAUUAGAAACCCCCGUAGUCC
rnacentral:rRNA from 1 species